UUCAAUAUUGAAGUAAUGAUUCAGUAUGCACUUUGCUUUUAGUAAGACGUUGUGAUCCAUUAGAAAUAGAUGUGUGUAAUAUCAUAUCAAUGGGCUAUCAAUAGGCCUGCACGAAGUUCAUGGUGGUAAAUAAUUAGAUCGUUGCGGUUUAGUAUAUUACCCUGUGAGCGUGUAGCGUUUGGUGUAGCUGUCUGAUGGAUUUUAAAGGCUAUAACGUAAUACUUAAUUGUAUUACCCGUGAAAGUGGGAUAGUUAUGUGCCCGAUCAACAACGGUUAAAUUUGGGAUACCUUUGGGACCCGUCUUGAAACACGGACCAAGGAGUCUAUCUAGUAUGCAAGUAAAUGGGCAAUARAAAACCUAUUUGCGUAAAUAACUUGACUGUUUUUAUGGGAUUACRAGCUGCAUUCCAUUUUAUUAUGGGAUGCGUUCCUCCAUCCCGGGGUAUUUUUAUAACAUGUAUUUUUUAAAUGCAUAGAAAAUAUACCAUGAGCACACUGGAUAUGACCCGAAAGAUGGUGAACUAUGCCUGAUCAGGUUGAAGUCAGGGGAAACCCUGAUGGAGGACCGAAGCAAUUCUGACGUGCAAAUCG
rnacentral:rRNA from 1 species